UACGUAGGUGGCAAGCGUUGUCCGGAAUUACUGGGCGUAAAGCGUGCGUAGGUGGUUCGUUAAGUCCGAUGUGAAAGCCCUGGGCUCAACCUGGGAAUGGCAUUGGAUACUGGCGGGCUAGAGUGCGGUAGAGGAUGGCGGAAUUCCCGGUGUAGCAGUGAAAUGCGUAGAGAUCGGGAGGAACAUCCGUGGCGAAGGCGGCCAUCUGGACCAGCACUGACACUGAGGCACGAAAGCGUGGGGAGCAAACAGG
rnacentral:rRNA from 1 species